rnacentral:rRNA from 1 species
UUAUUGAUUUUCUUGUUUUGUUUAAUUUGUUAUGUAUUUAAUUUAUCUGAAGAAUCUCUUUGUUGUUGUAUAUUUGUGAUUUAAUUUUUUAUGCUAUAGAUUACUUGUACCGUAUGGGUAUGAUUUUUGUUUAGUUUAUUUUUAAAAGCUGAUUUUAUUUAUUGUACCUUGUGUAUCAGGGUUCAUUGAAUUUUAUUAUUUAUUUUUAUUUCCCGAUUUUGAAGGAGUUAAUUGUUUAUUUUAGUUAUUGUUUCAUCAAUAUUAAUAAUAGGCUGUUGGUAGUGAAAUGUUAUUCGUCUUUAAAGGUUUCUGGUUUUCCUAGAAAUGAAUUCAAUUCAUGCUCUUUAUUUAAUUUUUACUUUUAUUUUAUUUUUUUUAAUUUGGUGUUAAGAUUAAGGGGGAUUAGCUCCUUAUUUUAUUUUUAUAAUUUUUUGUUCUAUUUAGUUUUGUGGAUUUUAUGGUGAUUUUCAAUUUGAUUAUGUUAAAAUUUUAUUUACCUUUUUGUUUAUUUUCCUUUAAUUUAAUUUGUUUAUUGGAAUUUCUUCUUUAAUUUUUUGUUUGAUUAGAAAUUAUUGUGUAAUUAGUAAAUUUUAUUUUAUUUUUGUUUAUUUUGUGUGAAAUUCUUUUGAGGAAUUCGGCAAAGUUUNNNNNNNNNNNNNNNNNNNNAAUUCUUAAAUGUUUUUAUGGGACGAGAAGACCCUAUAGAGUUUAACAUUUUAUUUUCUUUGUAUUUUGUUUGUUUAUUUUUAUUAAGUGAUUUGAGUGUUUUGUUGGGGUGAUGGGAGGAAAUUAUUUAACUCCUCUUUGUUUUUUAUAUUUAUUUAUAUUUUUUUGAUCCAUUUAUUUUGAUUAUAAGAUUAAAUUACCUUAGGGAUAACAGCGUUAUCUUCCUUGAGAGUUCUUAUUGGCGGGGAGGUUUGCGACCUCGAUGUUGGAUUAAGGUUAAUUUUUGGUGUAGGAGCUGAAAGUGAUUGGGUCUGUUCGACCUUUAAAAUCUUACAUGAUCUGAGUUCAGACCGGCGUGAGCCAGGUUGGUUUCUAUCUAUAAUACUAUUUUAUACCUUAGUACGAGAGGACCGGGUAUUUGGAAUAAUUUUGUUUUUGUGAUUAUUAUUAAUGUUGUU